rnacentral:rRNA from 1 species
CACGUAGGGCGCAAGCGUUGUCCGGAAUUAUUGGGCGUAAAGAGCUUGUAGGCGGUCUGUCGCGUCUGCUGUGAAAAUCCGGGGCUCAACCCCGGACUUGCAGUGGGUACGGGCAGACUAGAGUGCGGUAGGGGUGACUGGAAUUCCUGGUGUAGCGGUGGAAUGCGCAGAUAUCAGGAGGAACACCGAUGGCGAAGGCAGGUCACUGGGCCGCAACUGACGCUGAGGAGCGAAAGCAUGGGGAGCGAACAGG